rnacentral:rRNA from 1 species
GCAGUCGACGAUGACUUUUGUGCUUGCACAGAAUGAUUAGUGGCGAACGGGUGAGUAACACGUGAGUAACCUGCCCCUGACUCUGGGAUAAGCCUGGGAAACUGGGUCUAAUACUGGAUAUGCACCGUAGACCGCAUGGUUUUUGGUGGAAAGAAUUUUGGUCAGGGAUGGACUCGCGGCCUAUCAGCUUGUUGGUGAGGUAAUGGCUCACCAAGGCGACGACGGGUAGCCGGCCUGAGAGGGUGACCGGCCACACUGGGACUGAGACACGGCCCAGACUCCUACGGGAGGCAGCAGUGGGGAAUAUUGCACAAUGGGCGAAAGCCUGAUGCAGCGACGCCGCGUGAGGGAUGACGGCCUUCGGGUUGUAAACCUCUUUCAGUAGGGAAGAAGCGAAAGUGACGGUACCUGCAGAAGAAGCGCCGGCUAACUACGUGCCAGCAGCCGCGGUAAUACGUAGGGCGCAAGCGUUAUCCGGAAUUAUUGGGCGUAAAGAGCUCGUAGGCGGUUUGUCGCGUCUGCCGUGAAAGUCCGAGGCUCAACUUCGGAUCUGCGGUGGGUACGGGCAGACUAGAGUGAUGUAGGGGAGACUGGAAUUCCUGGUGUAGCGGUGAAAUGCGCAGAUAUCAGGAGGAACACCGAUGGCGAAGGCAGGUCUCUGGGCAUCUACUGACGCUGAGGAGCGAAAGCAUGGGGAGCGAACAGGAUUA